UGCAUAAAAUCUGCAUUAUUGAUGAGCGCCUACUCUGAUUGGCUGGAGGUGUGGCCCCCACCUUCACCCCCAGCCAACUGGAAAACUACCCGAUGAAUAAUGCAGCAGCAUGUUUACCUGCAGUAAUGUCUGCAGCUGGAGAUGUAAGACAGUUUAUAGCGUCUAUGAAGUGGAGUCUGAUCCUGGAUGAAGCUGCUGUUCACAGUUGAGACUUAAAAAGGAUGUCUCAGAACAGUUAGAUUGUAUCUAAGUUUCCUCACAAAGUAAAGUCAUUUUUUCAAAGCUAGCUUAGCUUUAGCACAGAUAUUUUAAAUUCCUUUAGCUGAGGAACAGAAAGAAACCAUGUUUUAAAACUAACCAAGUCCGCCUCUACACUGCCUGCUCUUUAGGCACACAUUCCAAAAUUUCAAAUGACUUAAAAAGUAAUUUUACAGCGUAGGAGACCCCAACCAUUACCUUAAUCCAUCCCAAAGCUAGCUUUUUAUGGUUUUCCACAGUUAAUAUUUAGUACCGCCACUAAGUUUCGUCCACCUGAUGAAGUCAGGAAAGCUUGAGAGGAGGUAACUGCAUGUGUAAAUGGUUCUGGGAACCGCUGCACAGUUUAAAAAGCGGUCCAGUGAUGUCAGGCAGAGAAGGAAGCAAAAGUUUGCCUAAAAUUAGUGAGAGAGGAGGGCAACCAGUGGGAGUCCUUUACAAAGCCAGCACCUGACCCCAUCAGCCUCAACGCUGCCUGCAGAAUGAGUGGAGGGCUUCAGGUCAGCGUUUCUGAGGAGAAACUGGCGAGGAGACUGAGACACGUGCUUUAACAAGCAGAGCUGCACAAAGGCUGAAGUGGGGAGGCAGCCACCAGCAGAACCGGUGACAUGUGAGAACGUAAGACCAACCCUUUCUUAGGAUCCAGUGAACUGGUUUCACCACAGUGCUGCAAGAGUUGCACACACUGAGCCAUGCAGUGGACUCUAUUCACAACUGUCUUCGCUGGAUGUGUAACAGAGUCAAGUUUAUUUAUUAGCUUAAACUUCUCGUGCAGUAUGCUAACACAUUUCUAUGUCAUUUAAUUUUUGUAGGAGCUCAAGUCAGCUGUCACAAUUGACUGGAUGAUUUUGUUAUUUACUUCUGUUGUCAGAAUAAAUGGUUGCCUCCAAACAUAUCCGGGUCUGAGCCUCUUCAUCAAAACACAACGCACACAACGCUAGAAACCACCAGUUACGGAUGGACUCUCAGGCAAAUACACUGUGCGUCUCAAUUAGCUACAGUCUGGAAAGCCUUGCCACUGCAGUAGAGUGGCAGUCCACCUCACCACCUUUCAACAUUUUUCUUUGUAUUUUGUGUUUGUUUCAUAUUGUAUUUUUCUGCUCAUAAUAAUUUUUGUUGGGUCACUUUAAUAUUAUCUGGAUUGCAUUCCUGUUGACUGAAGUUCUCUCCCAUGGAACAAGUCGUUUGCCAGCUGAUCCUCUCUUGUGCGUUAUGCGCUAUGGUCUGUUCAUGCAUCGGUGCAGCCAGCUCAGCCUCUCUCUGCACUCUGUGUAAUGUUUCCCCUGAAAAGUCAUUUUGGCAUCUAUGUGCAAAUCCAUCCAUCCAUAAUGUGCAAAACACAACAUGCCACGAAGAACAUGCUGACUUUCUGUGGAUUGUGUUGUGAUGUGCCACCUGACUUGUCUAAGCAUCUGAAAUGCAGAUGCUUGGACAAGAAAUUCACCAAAAUAAAGGGUCAUGUGUAGAACCUGGAAAAUUGGCAAACACAUGGGCUACUUUGCAUUGUGCAUGACAGACAACUUUGACAGAUUGAUAGAAUGGCCCCUUUUAUGUUUUACACCUUCUGAACAAGGCAAGAGGUAACUGAAUUUAUGGCCGAACUGACAGCAGCCUGAGAUAUGCCAGUGAUAGCGCUCAAGGGAUGCUGAAAUAACCCUGUGGCGAAGAAGGCCAGGCCAGUUGUUAUUUUCACAGCAACAGGGAGUCUGAACAGUCAGUCUGGGCAGUCCUUUUCCAGAUCCAGACCCAAAAUCCCGCAAAAGGUUACUACAGACAGUCUGGGAAUGUGCAGUAAUGUGCAGGUGGAGCCUCUCUCUGUUCUGAUGCUGCCUUUGUCUCGCAAUAAUAUAUUCCAUAACUCUAUUCAACCACAAAAUUUUGGGAUAUUACAAUAUAUUCUUAAAUUAGUAUGUGGGUUUGUACAAUAAAAUCCUAUGCAAAUACCAAGUAAGACUCUCACCUAAUUCACUGCAGCUGUGGAAGUUAUAUGGGUUUACCACCCUUCAACUUGCUUAUAUGGGCCUAUGGCAGGUAGUUGCAGGUGAAAUCACAAGAGAAUCAACCAAAGUGACUUUGUGCCAGGAAUACACAUGGUUCCUUAGACGUCUAUUCACAGGGCAACGUCUAGGACUAAAUUUCAACCAAAAUACAACAACUGUCUUUGCGCUGCUUCAUUUGAAUGAACCUCCAACCUUUCUGUGCCUCUUCUCCCACCUGUGCACCGUGAGCUCUGCACUGGGCACCAAAAUACCACACAGAUGGGCAGAGCGGGUUUCAAGGUCAGGAAAAUACCAAACUGUUGAAGUGCUGCUUGUGCUGGUCAAUGCACCUCCACAGAAAUAGAGCCCUUAAAGUAAAUUUUUAUCAAAAAAACUGACAGCGAAACUGGAUCAAAAUCAGGUGCUGAAAAUUGAUACUUGUUCGCUAAAGUGCUUGAGACGAGCAGCUAAAACUUUGGAUAAUGACAAUGCAGUGAUAUUCCUUUAGUCAGCAUCUAGAAUACAUUUUAGAUUGUUCACAGCUGCUUUAUUCUGACUGACAGCCAGCCGACACGAAAAAUAUCCAACGUAUGUAAUGUAGUGUUACAUCCACAGCUGGUCUUGAUAAAUCUACGUUAACGUUAGCUUACCUUUUUCUAGCGAGCUGGCCUCGCCUGUUUUCAUGGUUGAAACUUUUUCUGUGGGAUUGCUGUAGAUGAAUGAAUUUAGUCCAUAAAUCUUUCAGUCCUUCCUAAUAUUGGUAACGUUAGCUAACAUUACCGGCAGAGACAUAAGGUUACUAAAGUCAACUUCUGAAAAAGAGAAUCUGCAGAUACAUGCAGGUUGUUGAAUAAGACGUUACAUUGAAAACACAGUCAUUAUUUAAUUUGUCCAUUUAUUCAUCUUGUAUGUUGUAAUUUAGUUUUUAUUUGUUGGUAAAAAUGGUGACACAUUUCAUCAUAGUUUUCGUUUCCAAAGCUAACUUCUGAAUUAGUUUUCUCUCGUUUUUGUUGUGGGAAAAAGAUCCAUAAAAAAAUAUUUUUCAACAUAGUUUUUGUUUAUAAAUCUUACACUGAAAUCUCAGAGUUAAUAAACCAUUUAAAACAGUUCUGAGUGCCAAAUAUUUAAGAUAAGCAGAGUGUAAGAAAGCUGAGUUUAAGUCCUAGCUUAACUGAACCGUUAGCUAACAUUAACCAAACCCUUUUAGCUAGAAACCUAAACUAAAUUGUUUUCAACUGAACUUUCAGCUGUUAGCUGUUAGCUAACCUGAACCAAACUUAAGCUGUUACACUGAGCUGUUAACCUGAAUCAAAGUGUUUUAGCUACUAAACUGUAAAGUCAUCUAACUGAUUCAUAGAACCAUCAAAUAAAAACAUCUUUCUGGUUUGUCACCUGAUUGUUUCCCUUGGUUUCAUCUAAUCUAAUUCUCAGACAGUUAAUGUUUUUUAAUGACAUUUUAGACAAUGUAGGUGAAAAUAUGAUGACAUGUGUCAUGUGUGCAGCAUUAGAGUCCAAGACAAAUUUCCUCACAGGGACAAUAACGUAUAUCAUAUCGUAUCAUAUAUUUCCAAAAUUUAUAUGUGCAAUCUUUUAAACUGCGUUCUGUAGUUUUCUGAAACUUUGAAAUACUGAAACAUUGGCAAGCAUCCUAUGUGGUGAAAAUUCAUGUUACACAUUUAAAAACAUGAGGUUUGUGUUUAACAGUGUGCUAAUUUAAUUAUCUGCAGGAAGUUUGGAAAGAACUGGACACACUCUGUACUCAGCAGAUCUACUGGAUUUAUGCUAAGAUCCCACAAAGGAACAAUUAA